rnacentral:tRNA from 1 species
AGAGUAGCUCAGUUGGUAGAGCACAAGCUUCCCAAGCUUGGGGUCGCGGGUUCGAGUCCCGUUUCUC